CUCUGUGUCAUUUUACACAGUGUGGGAAAGUUUUUUUUGAAUUUUCCCACGCUGUGUAAAAUGACACAGAA
rnacentral:pre_miRNA from 1 species